rnacentral:lncRNA from 1 species
CCUGAUCCCAGUGAGCGAGAGGGGGAGGAGCCUUAGGAACUUGGAUCAGAGAGGCUGGAGGAGACGGAUCCCAUAGACCUUAACAGUCAUUGGAGACCUUUAGAUUUGAUUCUCAGUAGGAUGGAAAUCACUAGAGGGUUUUGAACAGGGAAGUAAUAUGAUCUCACUGUUUUAAAGAAUGCUUUCUGGCUGCUGAGGGGAGAGACUCACAAGAGAAAGAGGAGAAGCAGGAGGGAGGCCAAUAACCCAGGGUCAUUUGAGUUUUCUGAAAUUUACAUCUGAAAAAAUCCUAACUGAUAGAGAUAUCGGUACCAGGAAGUCAGAUGCUGCACAACAAUCUUCUGCAACCAGGAGCCCUAAGAGGAUAGCAGCAUGGAUGAAUCACUUCCUAGGAUGCUGCAGAGUGUUUCAGCCCCACCAACCAGAAAAGCCAGCAUCAGUCGGAAGGGUGGGCCCCAAAACUCCCUGGAUUUGAGCCUCUUAAUAGGCAAAACUGUUUUCAUAUAAACCCCAAUCAACAUCAUAUGCUCAGAUUCAUAAAGAAAAUUUCAAGUCAUUAUGGUUUAUUUCUGCUAAGUAGGAAGAACUACUGAAGAUCCUUUAAAAUAUAUUGUAUCAUGUAUACAUUAUUGGAUUUGAUUCUGGAAAAUAAUAUAUUCUAGUUCAUAAUCCCUUGCUUGCAAAUUGAAAGCUUUUUUCUUAGCAAAUUUGGCAGCAAAACCUGAUCUGAUGUGAGAGGAUUUAUCUUUUAUUUAAAAGUUUACUUGGUGUAACUAUUCCUUUGUUUCACUGCAGAAAUAGAAUAUGUUUCAUUAUAUGGUGCUGUCUCUAACUCCACAAAAUGUAGGGUAAUAUAUGAUACAGUUAAUAAAGUCCAAAAAAUUCUGACCUUCAAGGCAUGUCUGGCCCCAGAAGUUUUGGAUAAGGAAUCUAUAUUCCAUUAUAACACUCACCCAAUUCUAUUAUCUUGAGAUGUAAUACUUCCAUAAUGUGUGGGCUUUGAAGUAUCCAGCAAAAGCAAAGUCACAGAAACACAAUUAGCAUGAUUUGAGCAUUUGGAAGUAAUAUAACUGAAAGCUGUUCCAAGUUUCCUCUGAUCUAAAGUAUGCAUAUAUGCUAUUAUACUAUUGAUUUUCCUACAUGUACAUACUUCUGUGAGCUAAGCGAUGCUUCUGACUGUGAGGAAACUUUUACAGGUAAAUCCUUUAUAUCAUAUCCAACCACAAUCUGGGCAUUGCAGGCAUCAGAACAAUUUCCAUAGCUUCUAAUUUUCCCAAGUGUUUUGUUGUUCUCAUUUUAUAAAUUUUAUAAUCUUCUUGUACUUAAACUUUUUCUCCCAAGAGUUUGAAGAAACAGCACCUAACUUUUGGGAGUAAUGUUUCUAUUCUUUACAGGGCACAUAUCUGGUACUGGGCUGCAAACCUCAUUAUGUAUAUCAUUUCUGAAUCCCACCAUCAUCCUGAGAGAUAUUUUCUAUUCCUCUCAUCACACAGCUGAGCAAACUCAGGCACAAUGUGUCCCAGGCCACAUAGCUCUUAAGUGACAGAACAGAAUUUGAACCCAGGAAUGUCUAGGUCUAAAACCUGUGUCUUCCCAAAAUAUCAUGGGGCAGAUAAUUGACCCAUGCUCCAAUCUCAUUCUCAAACUGUGCAUAGUUGGAAGAAUAAGCCUGCUUUAUCCGUGGUAGAAAUUAGAGUUUAAUUUUUUUUCUAAAUGCUUAUGACAAUGUUUUUACACUUCCAUAAAAGAAGACAUAGUAUCUGGUUUUCAAAGAUUUAACUCUAUAGCCAUAUAAAAUGUCCAUCACUAUAACUUUGCUUUUCUGUUUUUUUAAAUAAAUGCAAAUAAUUGGUAUUGGGUAGGCUUAUCAACAAACACAGCAAAAUCAGAUACUCAAUAUUUACCCACCUUUUAGAAGCAUCAUCUACAUUUAUUGGAAAUAUUACCAUACAAGGGGAAGAGAAAGGCUUACACCUCAUAACAACAUAGCAUAAAAGGACAGAGAUGAAGAUCAUUAAUGAUUUUAAUUAUUUUAAGGACCAUUAAAAUUAGAGAAAUAUCAAAGCACCCACAGUGUUAAGGGUUUAUUAUUACAGCAUUUUAGAGUUUACUAGUUCAUACCUUUCAAUCACAGCAAGUUAUUAGCAGUGAAGGGAUGAACCCUCUUAAGAGGAUUUUUAUUUCAAUGAUAGGGUGUUACGGACAAGACAACCUAAGUUUAAAAAAAAUUAGUAGCAAGCGCUAGUUGAGUUAAUCAGUUAAAGACAAACUGUGCCCUUGGGAAGCUAAAUGAAAAAGCAACAGUAAAGCUUACAGAACUUAGCUCGUACAAUUUGCCUUGAAGGCGGAAGAUUGGUUCCCUGAAAUAGCAAAGAAUUAUAUGCUUUAGUUCAGAAAAAAAGUUUUUAAAAUAAAGUCUGUUAUUACCUCUUCUCCUUUCAAAACAAUGGGAAAAAAAUCUAGAGCAGAGGUUUCAAUUUGUUCAAUAAUUGUACCUCUGAAAGUUUUUUAAAAACUAUAACACCAUCAUUGUUUUGACUUGAAAAGAAAUAACAAUGCAAAUAUUCAUUAUCACAUAAAACAUAAAAGACACAGCAAACUGUUGAGUUAAUACAAUCUCUGCAGAGCGCUAUUAGUCAGAGACAGCUGGUCAGCCCAAAACACAAAAACUCAAAAGAUCAGAUCUUCUUAGGAAUUAACAUCUUCAUUAACCAACAAGAAUUUAGUGUGGCAGAGAUUACAUCCAACAACUGCGUUCUUCAUGAGCUGUCCCUUCACUGAUACCAAGCUGUGCAAAUGUGUGAACUAGUUAGCAACCCCAGAAAGCUCAUGCAACUACUCACCACAUUUUAACCUUCAACUGACUCACAAACUCAAUGUUAAAUUAAACUUAGGGGUAACGUAAGCAAGCAAAAUAGGACAUGAGGAGUCAAAUUUGAAAUGCAGAGCAAGUAGCAGAAAGGUUAUUUAAAAUAAAUCAAUAUGGUUAACUGCACAAAAUAGCCAAAAAGAAAUGCAAUUCACUCCAAAAAUUUUAAAAGCAAAAACAAAUCAAAAUGAAAGCUGCAUUUCAAGCAAAAUUUGCACGUGAUUAAUUUGCAUUAAAAAAAUAGUCAAUCAAGCGAUUUAGUUCAAAUUCUUUGGGACAUGCAUACACUGAUUCUCUUAUGCAAUUCCUACCUGAUUUCCAACUGUGGUUUUCUUGUGAACCUGACUGCUCCUCUGCUGAGCACUGAGAAAAGCAAAGGAAAGCAGCACUGAAGAGACACAUAUAAUUUUUUCCUAAACAAGUAACAAAUACUAAAAUUUAUACAGGCUUUAAAAAAAAAAUCAAUGGAGACAGACCUAAUACCAAAAUUCCAGGUCAGUUUAAUUCUGGAAGCAAAACCAACUCAAUGGGACUCCUAAUAGCACAUAACUCCUAGUAGCAUAUAAACCAAAAAUAUAAUAACACCACUUAAAGAAAAGCUGCAUUGUAACAUUAAUAACAUACGAGUUGACAUAUUUGCAGUGUCUCACAGGUACAGAGGAGAGUUGUAAUGGAAAUUAAGUUAAUGAUUAUUGAGUAUAUGCCAUGUUCUAAGUGCUUUAUCGAUAUUAAUCAUUUUUAUUCUCACAGCAACCCCAUGAAGCAGUUACGAUUAUUCUUCUUGUUUCAUAGAUGAGGAGAGAAGCUAAGUGACUUUCCCAAAAUCACUCAGCUAAUAAGUGGUAGUACCAAGUAGCAUGGCUCCGCAUCACAAACUCUUUGUGAUAUUGUCCAGUCUCACUGCUUUGAAUUCCAAUAUAUUCUGACAACUCCUUUAAUGCAUCUCUGGUUUGGAUCUGCCAUGUAGAUCCAAAUAUGUAUGAGUCCCAACUCUGGACUUAUUGAUGUUUUUAACAACUUAACCUCAUCACUUGGGUAUUUAAUGGGCAUAUCAUUCUUAAUAUUUCAAAACUAAACUCCUGAAAUCCCCCCUAAAAUCUGUUCCACCCACAGUCUUCCUUCCUCCUCUUAACUAAUGGCAAUUCUAUACCAUACAUUCAAGUUCCUUGGCCAAAAUCUUUGUCUCCUCUUUCUCUCACAACCCAUAUCCGACCAUCAGAAAAUGCUGUCGACUACUUUCUUAUAAUAAAUUUAACAUUUAACCAUCUUUUCAUCACUUCCAUUGGUCCCACCUUGGUCCAAGACACUGCCAUCCCUCAUCUGGAUUACUGUAAUCAUUUAUUCUCUGGUCUCUGCUUCCACACUUGUCUCCCUGAAGUCUAUUCUUAACAGACACCAGAGUGAUACUUUCAGAAGGACUAUGUUAACUCUUCUGCUCGAAACCGUGUACUGCAUCAACACCAUUCCAUUUAAUGGUAAAAACCAAAGUCCAUACAAGGGUCUACAAGGCCCUACUCAAGCAACCCCCACUACUGCCUCUUUGACUCAUCUCCUCCUACCCUUCACCUUGUUCCCUGAAGAGUUCCAGCCACACUGGCAUCUGCUCUUUUUCAAACCCACCCAAUACACUCCCAUUUAGAGCCUUCAGGCAAGCUAGCUCCCUAGGAUGUACUUCCCGCUUUCAUCUGCAUGGUUCCCAACAUCUCUUUCAAGUCUUCAUUCAAAUCCUUCUUUUCAGUUAGGACUACUCUGACCACCCUAUUUAUAACCGCAUCCCUCCCUUCCUCCAAGACUAUCAUCCCCUUUACCCUGUUUGAUUUUUCUGUCUGGCAUUUCUCACCUUCCGAUACACUACACGGUGUAUUUAUUUUUUGUGUUUGUCUGCCCUUUUCCAUUAGACUGUAAGCUCCUAAUGAGCAGGGGUUUGCGUCUGUUUUGUUCACUGCUAUAUCCCCAGGGCCUGCAAAGGACAUGGCACAUGGUUGGUUUCAUGAAAUAUCUGUUCGAUGAAAAGCCCAAUGAAGUUGAUGCCAUUAUAACCCUCAUUUUAGACAUAAGCACAGAGGGUUAAAAGCCAGAAAGGACUCCAACAACUUAACAACAGAGCCCACACGUUUCAUCACUAGGUUACUCUAUCCCUCAAAAGGACAAAGGCUUUCUUUUGGUGGAUCCAUGAAUAAACACGUAUCAAUAUAAGAAACACAACUCAUUUUGGUUAUUCUGGGAAGAUCAGCAAUACUCAGUAUUCUUACAGAUUGUUUAAUAGUUUAUGGAAGCUGUUUUGGAGAUCAAUGAAAUGGUCUAAAAUAGAGAAAAGGGAGACUAAAGCUCUCAGUCAACUGUUUAAAGUGAUGGGAUGUUGUGCUGCAGUAACAAGUUAGAAAUCAACACCACACUUAGAACAGCUGAUCAAAAUAAGUUUUUAAUAAACUCCUCUGAUACAUUUAAGCUGCUUUCCUUCACUCAAACUCAUGAAAAAACACUGCAUUCAACUGAAGGUGGGCAGGGGGUGGGUGGUGAAAGGCCAUACUGUAUUUGGUUGCUAAAAAUAUUUUGUGUAUAUAUUUUUUUCCAAUUUAAAAUUUGCUAAUUUCAACUUCUUCCUUCCUUGUUUUUUAUUUUUCCAGCUUUCUGUUAAAUGGUUAAUCCUCUUAAUUACGAUGAAAUUAUUUCCUCUUUAACCAUUUCUCUGAACAAUCUAAAUCUACAUUAUUCAGGUCUUGUAGGUGAGGCUGUGAAAGAGGUAACCAGGAUCCAAUGUGCCCACACCGCCCUCUGGCUGCCCUCAUGCCCUGGCGCACACAGCGUCUUGAGUAGCACUCUCCUAAGGGCUUCGGAUCUCCUCCUUACUUUCUUUUUCCACAUUAAAUGUCACUUUUCCAGCACCCUCCAGGCUUCCUGCUCUUCCAGGAAUGCAUGAGAAAACUACUAUUAUAAUGAGAUCAUGACACCUUCAUAGGUUAUGUUUAUCUCUUCCAAGCACCAUAAUUGUGUUUUAGGAGUAAUGUUUUCACUGAAACACUGACUAGUGGUGAAAACCUGUGAUAGACCCACAGGUGCUUCCUUUGAACAAAUUAUUGUAGACCCUAAAAUUAUGUAUCAGUCCCCUUCAAAUCACUUAAGGGAAAAGAAGUUGAAUGUAAAGCAAAAGCCGCAAAGAUCGUUAAUGACUCCUUUGCUACCUUAGGUGAAAAGUUUGAUCAAAAUGGACUUCAGUCGCUCAGCUAUAAAAUGUGUAUAUGUGUGUCAUAAAGGAGACAGACAGAAACAGAGACAGAGAGGAGGGCUAGAGGACUAAACAAGUUGUUUCUUAGGUUCCUUUUAGGUCCAAUAUUCCUUGAGAUGCAAAAUUACUCUCAGAAGCUUAUAAGCUACACUAGAUAAAGACAAUGUCCAUUGACAGUUUCCAUCUGUGAAAUAAUGCAUAUUUAGGAUCUACCACUUGUAAGAAUAUGCCAAAGGAAAAGUAGAUUUACUUUAUAAGCCAAUCUCAAAUAUUAGAGUUAGAAAAAACACUAAGUUGCCUCUAUUUUCCACCUAAAGAAUCUUUUUGCAGCAAUUGGCCCCAUAAACUUAAACAUUCUGUUGCUAAUGAUGUAUUUAGCUACUUGAAGUUACUUCAAAAGCAACAACAACAAAAAAAGCUGCCUGCUUAGAAUACAUUCUUUCUCAUAAUUCUUCUGCAUAAUAAUUGAACUGAGAGUAUUUCAAAACAUUUAUUUAAAAAUAUGUUCCUUAAAAAACCUGUAAGGACUUGCAAGUUAACUUGAGCCCUUGGACAUGUUCUUGGAUAUAGUUACUUAACCAAUUAACUCUGAAAUAUUAUAAAACAUACCUAUGUAUGGUGUUUUAGUUUAACAUAAAUCAAAAACUAUAGGGCACGAACUCCGUAGCAUAUAAAAAUAUGAAUAAGGUAUAGUUCUUGUUAUCAAAAGCCUACAAUUUGUCUGGUACAAGUAAUGAUAUGCAUACACAAAACAAAAAUAACAAAUAAAAAAUAAAAUCCAUAUUAAUAAACAUGUGAGGAUGUAAUAGAAAGCAAAAACAAAGUGCUUCUGUUUUAAAUGUGGGAUAUAAUUACCCAUAUCUUCUCAUAUGUGUGUGCGUGUGUGCACGCACAUUUGUCGUUUGUCAUAUAAAUUCCUACUACACACAAGUCACUGUGGAAGGCUUUGCCAGAACACUAAAACGUAGAACCAAAUUGGUGUAUGCUGAGACAUAAUGAUUCUAAAAGUAUAUAACAAGAAGUUUAAACUUCUAUAAAAAUAAGAGUACAUUAGAAGACAAUCAGAGAACCCCUAAUGUUAUCUCUUGGCUCAAAACUUUUUUGCACAGUGUCCUAUCCUUGUCUAUGAUGUGUGACCAUUUAUCAAAUAAAUCCUAUACCAUUGUAAUUUCUCUGAAUGUUCAGGGACAAGAAAUAUAAUUUCAGAUGAUAUGAUCUGAACUGUUUGUAGCAAACUUGAAAAGAAGAUAAACUUUAAUAAAGGAAAACAAAUGACUACGUUCCAAGAGAAUAGACUGGUAUUAGCAAAGCCAGGAAGUAGAAAGAUGAGGCAUAUGGGGAAGUUGUGGAGAGUAAAACUAUUAUGGUAGAAUUAUCCAAUCAUAGACUGGGGUUUGUAAGUGAUCUUAAAAGCCAUCUAGUAUAAUAACUGUACGUUGGGGCCAGUUAUGGAGAAUUUGGCUGUUACUCUGAAGGCAGCAGAAAACAUUCCAUGUUUCUGUGCCAGCAAGUGACAUGAUCAAGGCAAUGUUUUAGUACAAAUUAGUUCCCUGAAAUGCAUAGUAUUGACUCAAGCAGAGAAGACAGGAAGCAGUCAGCCCAGACCCCCUGUCUCUGACUAUUGGAGUCCUGUCCAGUCUUAAAACUCCAAUCAAGCAUCAUGCCUGAAUUAUGCCUUUUUAGAAACCUCCAGUUAUCUCUCCUUUUCAUGCACUCCCAAAGCCUUGGUCUGUGCCUGUAUUUUAUAAACAAGAUUGUAAGUUGGGUUUCCAACAAUGCCUGCUCCUUGAUAGUCAAGAGCAUCAAUCUUGGUAUUUCUACCUCUCUCAUCACUGACAUUACCUAGCAGAGGGUUUAUGGUAGUAUCUUAAGAAAUACGUAUGGAAUUCUGUUUUGAUGCCAGGGUUAUUUACAACCAGACUAUCAAUGAUCAUCUGUACUAGGAAACCUAAAUAAUUUGAAGAAGCAUAUCAUAGGCAUGUGUUAAAGCAAAAGUAUGGUACAGUUAGGGAUCCCAAAGUGGUCAGACUGGCUGCAGCAUGGACUUAGGGAGUAGAGUAGAAAGGAAUAGUAACAAUAGAAUAGGCUGAAGAGGUAAACAAGAUACAGAUUAUAGAGAGCCUUGGAAAUUACAUUAAUAAGUUUAGACUUUAUUCUGAAAGUAACAGAGAAUCUCAGAAGGAAUGAGAAAGAGGAUGACAGGGGUACAGAGAGACUGUUGUAGUAACUCAAGUAAGAGAAGACUAACUUUAGUAGUGGCAAUGAUGAUAGAAAGAAAUAGAUGAAUUCAAAAAAUAUUAUGGAGAUAGAAUCACAUGAACUUGGUAAAGAUGGAUGGAGACAAAGAUAUGAGGGGAACAAGGAGCAAAGAAUAGGACUGGGAGGUGCCAUCCACAGAAAGUGGGAACAACAUAGAAGUUAAAAAUUAUAAGAGCAGAUGAGGAGUUUAGUUUGGGACUAGAAGGUUGAGGCUUCUCUAGGAUAUAUAAGUAGAGAUGUCCAAUAGACAUCUGAAUAUGGUACAUAGUCCAGUGAAAAGUCUUGAAAUGAAGAUCUAGAUUUGGAGUCAUCAGAUAAAGUUGGCAACUAAAACCAUUGGAGUGGGUAAGAUCCAUUAGGAAUAAUGCAGUGAGUGAGAAAGAAGGGGGUCUAGGGUGGAAAAUUGAUUAAAGAAUAGUUCUUAAGCCAUGAUCAGAAGAUGAAGAGCUCCUAAAGACUGAGAAGUGGCUAGAGUGAAAAGAGGAAAACCAGGAGAGAGUGGAAGGUUAUUGAAGCAAAGGAACAGAUCUCUUCAAGAAGGAGUGAUUAACGGUGGUGUCAAAUGAAAGGCUCAGAAUUGUCCAUUGGAUUAACUGUUUUGUCCUGGACAAAAGCAGUCUCAGUGGAGUGGAGUGGUAGAAACUAGAUUGCAGUGGGCCGAAAAGUGAAAGGAAGAUGAAAAAGAGAAUGGAACACAGACUAAGGCCACUCAAAGAGGGCUCAGAUGCAUUAAGGAAAUGGAGAGUCCCUUUGAGAUGUAGAUUCCAUAGCAAAUAUCAGAGUGUGCCUCUACCUCUACCCACAUUUCAACUGCUCAACAGCCACAUACAGGUAGUAGCUUCUGUACUGAACAGCACAGAUUAUACGAUAGUUCCAUCAUCUCAGAAACUUCUAUUGUGCAACAGUGCUAUAGAGUAAAGAAGCUCUUUUAGACUUGUUUAGUAGCAAUUAAGAGGCUUCCUUGCUCUUUCUCUCAGUAGCUACCACCAUAGGUCACCACUAAGCUGUCAAUAAAGUAGGACCCACAGUGAAGGUCCCAGAGCCAUCAGCCGGAGUCACUAUACUGUAGGGCUCUGCCGUCCAAUGCAGUAGCUGGUAGCCAGAUUAAAACUUUAAUUAGAUUGAAUUAAAUUAAAAAUUUAUUGCCUUCAUUGCACUACCCACAUUUCAACUGCUCAAUAGCCACAUACAGCUAGUGGCUUCUGUAUUGAACAGCACAGAUUAUACAAUAGUUCCAUCAUCUCAGAAAGUUCUAUUGUGCAAUGGUGCUACAGAGUAAAGCAAUUUUAGACUGUUCUUUUAUAUUAUCCAAGAAAGAUUAUGAACACUUCACAAGAGUCCCAAGAGUGUAACUUAUCACAGGUUACACUGUGAUAGUCCAGGCUCCGUCCAAUCAGACUGAAGCCAAAGGGAGAAGAAACAAUGUCCGUUUCUCCUCCAGGAUCUUUAAUGAAGGCUCAGGCUAUUAUGCAAGAAAAUCUUACAGAACUUGGGAGUCUGCAAAAGAAGAAUCACUUACCUCCUAAGAUUCAUGUUAAGGAUGAAGAUGAAGUUUAAAAUAACAUAUUUGAGGAUGAAAGAGAAAACUGGAAGUCUACUUAUUUUUAAAAUGGUGCUUGGAACAUUGGAAUUUAUAACUUAUUUGAACAGGAUAUGUGAAUGGUAUCCUUUCAAGUUGCUCAAUCCUGUAUUUCUACUUGACAACAAUCUCAGUAAGCAACCAAGCAUUUAAUUCCUAAAUUUGCAUAUAAGUCAAAAAAAGGAUCUUUUUAUACUCCAAUACCUAAGUUUUGAUUCCACAAGAGAGAGAACAUUCUCAUGUAAGAUUAGGAACUAGAAACAUUAUUACAAUAGAAUAUAAUUAUGCAUUAGGGAAAAAUAAACUAAGAAUGUAAAGGGAAAGACUAAGAUUGCUCUGGAAUUUAGUGGCAAGGUUGAAAUGCACUGCCUUCAGUAAAACGGCAAUAGAGGCAUUCCAGAGGAUCAGGAAAAAGAUAUAACAAAUCUUAAGACCCAUAGAAUUUUCAUGGUGCUCAAAUAACAAGAACUGAAAUCUGCACACUGUAUCAUUUCAACUGUGAGAAAACAGGUGUUGAGACCUACUGAGCAGAUUGAAAAACAAACAGACCUUGGUCUGCUGCUUGCGGUGUAUAGAGAUAUCACUCUAACGGCACAUAUCUAUAGUCCCUCUUUCUCUUUAACCAUUGGACUGCAUAAAUCCUAGUAACUCAGAAAGCAAAUUGUGUCAUGGAACAAAUGAAGAAGAGCAGAGGAGUUUGAAAUUUCACUUCCCAAGGCAUUCCACUAACAAGAUUGCCUUUUUGUUCAAAAGAGGAUUACUGAGGACGAGGGGAAGUGAAUGAAGGAACAAUUGGGCCAGUUCUUAUUUUCUUAAAUAGCAAAAACUAGCUAUAUUAUGUAAAAAUAUAUGUAAUUUAGGGUUUUUUUUUUUCUAAAGCAGAGAAUGACAAAUUAAAACCCUUAAGUCACAAAGAAAUUUGACGUUUUCUUCUGAAAUGCUGAACUUUCAGGCUCAGAAACUAUAUUAUAGUUGAAAAAACAUUUAGAAGCCAGGAAAUUCCAAAGCAAGCCUAGAGCAGUGCUUAUUUGGACACAUUACACACGGUACAUAUUUUACAGGCCAUGUCUAACAAAUAACUAGAAGAUGGAAAAAAAGUGUCACAUAUUAAACAUGACAGUAUAAAUUCUAUAACAGAAAGAAGAAUUUUGAGAUGUCCUGAAUGCUACUCUGAAAGUAAAUAUUUUAUUAAUCCAAUUUUAGCAAUUCAUUUUCAUUUUUUAAAAAAUUAGAACAAAAAGUCAUCCAAGUUGAAAAAAAUUACAUGUGUAAAGUACUAUGUACAUCACCAUCCUAUAAAUCUGGGAGGCAGUUCCUUCCCUUUUGGCAACUCUCUAAAAAUCUCAUGAAACAAAUGCUUGUUUUCUUCAACCCCAGACCUUAAUUUUCUGUCUUUGGAACUUAAAAAUACUUACAUAAUUGUCUUCAAAUAUGGCUUGACUUUUCUUCCUUGAUGGAAACAGCAUUCUUGCCAACUUUAAAAUUUAUAGCUACAACCAUAUUUUUUUAAUUUUUAAAAGCACAAAAAAUACCACAACCCCUCAAAGUGAUUUUGAAAUGAACAUUUCUUCAUCUUCAUAAUCACUCCACGUCACCCCAUGUCAAUUCCAAGUCGACAUACAAAUGGAAAGGACAUUUAUCUCUGAGUCUUGGGGCAAAAUAUCACAUUUAGAGAUAAUGAUAUUAGCAGCUAAAAAAUAUUCCAGUGACAAUCAUACUUAAGUCAUUAUAACUACAUCAUAAAGUAAAAUGGUACAUCUAGUAAUCAAAUGUGAGUGUAUGUGUGUGUAUGUGUGCACACGUGCAUGUAUGUGGAGAGAGUGAGAGACAGGGAGGAUCUCUCACAUUUAUAGACUACACCAUAGUUUUUUUUAAAGGAUUUCCACAUAACUUGAUUAAUUUGAUCUUCUGACAAUCCUGAAAGGUAUACAAGACAAGGAUUAUUAUUCCAUUUGAUACAUCAGUAAACAGAUAGAGAAAGGCUGAGCACCUUGCCAAAACCCAAAGCUCAUCAGUGGCAUAUCCUGGAAAAACAACCUGGAUUGUUGACUCCCAGAUCAGUCCUUUAAAGAAGGUUUAAGUGUGCAAUUUAAAUUAGAUGAGAAAUGUGUAGAGUUGCUGGCUUUCUAAAGCAGUUUUACCUAUGCUUCUUUUUUUCUCCCCAAUAUCAUAAAGAUUCAUAGUCUAUCUCACUGCUGGAAAAAUAGGACCAGACACCUGGACCAGAAAAAUAGGACCAGACACAGAGAGACUACGUCAAAAGAUUGUGUUUGAAAGUCUUAAAUUUGAAAAAUCACCUGCCCUUGGAAACCUAUAAAUCAAUAUAAUCAAUAUAAAACCAUAGUCCAACAGCUUCUAAGGCAGCAAAUAUGGAAAUUUAUUGGAAAAGAAACUCUAGCUCAUUUAUCAUAGAAAAAAAAAGUUUCAAGAAGAUUAUAAAGGUGAAAUUUAAAUUGAAGCACGGGUUAUAUAAUAUGUUUAAAUUUGAACCUUUCUAAAUGGAUUAUGACUUUUUCUACAUUUUCCCCCUCUAAUUGUGGUACCACAACAAGGCAGCAUCCUUUUCACUUUUAAGUUAUUGUGUCAAGUUUACAUCGACAUCUGCUACAUUUUUGUAAGAACCUAACUGGCAUUUGUAAUCCAUGAAAAUCAACAUUAAAGGCAGCAUUCCUAUUAUUUUAAAUGUCUCAAGGAUUUGUUUGUCUUUUAAAUUCCUCAGAGAAGCAGUGAGGAAAAUGAAGAAUGUGUCAGUUUAAAUUUUUACUUGUGUGUCUCUAUACUUUUCAAUUAUUUGGCAAGCUCCUAAAAGGCAAAAAGUUUUUUUCUUUUUCUACAUUCCCCCCCCACCCACUAUAGAAACUAGAGUAGAGCUUGGCACAGGCUCCCUAGAGUUCACUGACUGUGGAGGAAACCUGGAAAAAAUUUCUGGACCUAGGGAUAAGGAUGUAUGUUACAGUUUAGGUGAGUCUGCAGAAGGAAAUGAACAGAACACAUGGUGAGAGUCUUGGGGCUAAAAGAGAGGAGGGCAAGUCUGUGCGAAAUGCCUGUGCAGCAAAUACCUAUCAAGAAGUGGGUGUGGGCAGGGUGGCUGCAAAGACAACUAGACUAGGGCACAUAUUUAUCGUUGGGUUCUAACAAGAAUACACGUAUGCCACAGACAGAAAAUGGUGGAAGAAAUCUUAUCUACCCUUCACUAGUAAUCGUCAUUGGAUGCAAAAGAUAUUUACACAAUUGGCUAGGACAUCACAACCACAGCCAAGUUUAGGAUGAGAUAAUUUUCAGUUGGAUAAUUGGGACUGUUCUCCCUAAAACAUGCCUGUAAAUUCCUCAGGCCACUGUUUAGUUUAGGUCACAGGGUCUGCAUAUCCAUUUCUUCUAAGUCAGAAUGUAAUAAAAUAAAUUAAUUUGACAUUCUGUCAUUUUUUUAUUUGUCUCUGUUCUUGAAUACUCAGUUUAAGUAAAAGUACAUAGGCUCUUUUGUUUUACAUUUUACAUAAAAUAGGCUAUAUUUUAUAUACUUGAAGUUGGAACCACUUAAAUGCAAAAAUAUAUUUUAGAGGUGAUAUCAAGAUUAUUUAAAUCAAAAACUGGUUUCACUAAUGGGCAGGAAAAGAUAGUGCAUUCAAGGUCUUCAAAAUGUCACACAGUGAAUAGCCAAUCCUGAGUAACUAACCAUAACG